CACCAUCUUUCCCCCUUUUCUCUCAUUUUCCCCAUCCCAACCCACCUCCCACCAGCCCUGGGAGUCCCACCACUUCCUUCUCUUUCCCCUCUCUCCCCACCAGCCCCAUCACUCCUUGCUCUGUCUCCACCUCUGAAGUCCCCCCUGCUUUAACUGCAGUCUGCUUUCGCCUGUCCUGGGGGACACUCCCAGACACCAGGCCCCUGGCCAGUCAGUCUCUCACCGUGAGAUGCCAUCAGAACUCCAGGAACCCCACUUUCCUUUCCAAGGGGCUCUCCCAAGAUCCCUCCCCCAGCUCAUCACUGACUCUGGCGUCUCUCAGAACAUCAGGCAGAUCUAGGGGCAGAUCUCAUGGAGGGGCUGGUGCUGGGCUGGUGCUCUCCAGGGGGACGCUAACCAUGUAGCGGGAGAGGCCUCAGGAAGGGGAAGGCAGACGCUGGUGAGGUUAUGGGCAGAAGAAGACCUGUCCUGGUCUGUGCCGCCACAAAUGUGGCAAAUAUGAGCUGCCAUCAAAACACACCUAUGCAAGCUGCAAAGGGAUCUGCUGUAUCCCCACCAAAAAGGGGAAAUGAGCACGGAGGGCUCCACCUGCCCUGGAAGAGGAGCAGCAGCGGCAGCGGGUUCCCGACUGUUUAGCAGAAAUGUUGUUCACUCCUCUCAUUAAAUAAGAGCAGAUCUGGC